rnacentral:rRNA from 1 species
UACAGAGGUGGCAAGCGUUGUUCGGAAUUACUGGGCGUAAAGGGCGCGUAGGCGGCCUUCUAAGUCAGACGUGAAAUCCCCAGGCUUAACUUGGGAACUGCGUCUGAUACUGGGAGGCUUGAGUGCGGGAGAGGGAUGUGGAAUUCCUGGUGUAGCAGUGAAAUGCGUAGAUAUCAGGAGGAAUACCGAUGGCGAAGGCAGCCCCCUGGGUCGAUACUGACGCUCAUGCACGAAAGCGUGGGGAGCAAACAGG